CUGGGUUCAGAACGUCGUGAGACAGUUCGGUCCAUAUCCGGUGCAGGCGCAAGGGAAAUUGAGAGGAGUCCUUCCUAGUACGAGAGGACCGGAAGGAACAGACCUCUAGUGUACCAGUUGUGGGGCCAACCCGCAAACGCUGGGUAGCUAUGUCUGGCAGGGAUAAAUGCUGAAAGCAUCUAAGCAUCAAGCCCACCUCAAGAUUAGUUUCCCCAUCUCUGUAGCAAUACAGAGGGUAAGACCCCUUGCAGAACACAAGGUUGAUAGGCUGGAGGUGUAAAGGCAGUAAUGUCUGAGCUGACCAGUACUAAUCGGUCGAGGACUUGAUCUU
rnacentral:rRNA from 1 species